GACAAUGCCCAGACCUCCAGAAACCAUGUGUCAAGCUCGGAUUGCCUUAGACAGGUGCAAUUUAAGAACAGCUUUCAUCCUCUUUUCUCUCAUAUUGUCACACUAUGUGUUCUGACUUCUGGCUCCUUUCCUCACAAGAAGCUCACCCAGCUGGAACUCUUAUGGGACCUUGGCACCAGAGACCACAAAUUCCUCUUUGAAGUUUUCUAACAGCAACAAUGGUAUUUCUGACUUGGCUUUCUUGUAUUUCUCUCACGUUAACAAAAUUGGUUCAGCAUCUACCAUGGGCUACAUGCUGAGCUACAGAGUUUCGCUCUGUCGCCCAGGCUGGAGUGCAGUGGCGCGCGAUCUCGGUUCACUGCAAGCUCCACCUCCCGGGUUCACGCCAUUCUCCUGCCUCAGCCUCCUGAGUAGCUGGGACUACAGGCGCCCGCCACCACACCCAGGAAUCCAACUUGCUGUUUGCUAUCACAUGUGCUAUACAUGCUGUUGAUGAAACUGCUAAAGGGGCUGAAUGUGACUGACGUCUUUGGAAGGAUGAGACUUAGCGUGCCUGUACAGUUGUGUCCAAAUGCUGUCCUCAUCUCCCAAUGAAAAGCUGAACUAGGGCCAUGCCUGGGACAGACAGAGAAUGGCCUUCCAGCAGACAUGCCAAGAAGCAAGCCAGGGUCAGUGAGUGAAGAGGAGGGCAGGCCCAUUUGAAGCAACACAGUUUAUGAACAAAACCCAUCAGAAGAUGUCAGAAGAUAAGGAUUUUUGUCCUGAUGCUACACUUACCAGCUGUCCCUCAGUGUUCUACUUCUUAAAAAAAGAGAGGUUG
ensembl:lncRNA LUCAT1 lung cancer associated transcript 1